GUCCCCGGUUCGAAACCGGGCGGAAACAGCAGCCGUCUACUUUUCUUUUUUGUCCUUUCACCCCUACAGAAGGAUCAAAAGAAUUUAAAGUGAGAACCCACGGAAGGAUCUAACCAAUUCACAGUGAGAUCCCACGUCUCCUGGUUCCUACGAGGAUCGGAACGUCGCAGUUAUAAUUAGCGAAGGCAGAGUAGUGGUGACGAAGCGUUCCUCCCAGGGUGACACUUGGGAUGGAUUUUGUUUCUGCAGCGAGAGGUCCGCAGGUUCUUGUGUUGCCCUGCAGCUUCUGGAUCGCGUCUUCCAGAAGGCACUGUGGACUUCCAGAAACGGCUGCUCAGUGCGCGGAGUCGUCAGUUCUGACUUCUGCCCCCGGAAGGGCUCUGAUCUCUUCAGCGGGGAUUGCCUCAUGCUCCUCUCCUCCAGUGUUUAUAACCUGUACUGAGAUCCAAACCCCCUCCCCGUGAUUUUUUUUUUUUUUUAAAUCUCGCUUUAUAAUGCGGUAUCAUUAACCUGCAUGUAGCAGAGACGCUCCCAUCUCUAUUAUUUACACCUGCCUCUGCUGUGCGUGGUUUAAGAUGUCACCGUCCAGUUCUUGGACAUGAAAAUUCUUCUUCCUCUCUCCCUCUCUCCAGUCUCUUUCCACGAGGAAUCUUAAGGCCCUUGAUUCUAAGUCAGACUGAAAGAUUAUAAAAAAUUAUUUUCUAGGGCCAGAAGGAAAAUAAUUGGGUCAGCUGUGGAGAUCUCUUGCAGAGGACCCAGGUGGGCCACAACCACACAGAACUCCGGUUCCUGAGGACCUGACACCUCCGUCCUGCAGUCUGGCCCCUCAGUUCCCUGGGCUUCCUGAUCACCGGAUCUCUCUCCAUCUGUCUCCUCUCUCACCAUGAGGUCCUCACCAGAGAAGGAACACAGGACAGCACUUGAUAUUGGACCUUUGGCCUCCAAAUGAGAGCUAAAUAAAAUUCGUUUUGUACCCA